rnacentral:rRNA from 1 species
CCUACGGGAGGCUGCAGUGAGGCAUAUUGGUCAAUGGGCGCGAGCCUGAACCAGCCAAGUAGCGUUAAGGAUGACUGCCCUUCGGGUUGUCAACUUCUUUUAUCAAGGAAUAAAGUGAGGCACGUGUGCCUUUUUGUAUGUACUUUAUGAAUAAGGAUCGGCUAACUCCGGGCCAGCAGCCGCGGUAAUACGGCGGGUGCGAUCGUUAAUCGGAAUUUCUGGGCGUAAAGCGUUCGUAGGCGUGAUGUCAAGUCAAGGGUGAAAUCCCCGCGCUCAACGUGGGAACUGCCUUUGAAACUGGCAAACUGGAGGGUGUGAGAGGAUAGUGGAAGUCCAGGUGUAGGAGUGAAAUCCGUAGAUAUCUGGAGGAACAUCAGGGGCGAAGGCGACUAUCUGGCACAUAACUGACGCUGAGGAGCGAAAGCGUGGGUAGCAAACAGGAUUAGAUACCCCAGUAGUC